UCUUUAACGGCCGCAGUACACUGACUGUGCUAAGGUAGCAUAAUAAUUUGUCUUUUAAUUGAAGACUGGUAUGAAAGGCAUCAUGGAGAUAAGCUGUCUUUUAAGAAAUUUUUAAAAUUUACUAAAAAGGUGAAAAUUCCUUUAGAGUGUUCAAUAAGACGAGAAGACCCUUAGAAUUAUCACGAUAACUCAUUUAGGAGGGAAGUUUUUGUUGGGGCAACAUUUUCAAAUUUAGAACUGAAGAUUUUUAAAAUUGCUAAAUAAGACCAUAAUGUUAAAUAGGAAUUUAAUUACCUAAGGGAUAACAGCGUAAUUCAUUUAUGAGAGUAUGACCUCGAUGUUGGACUAGGGACUUUUUGCGCUAGAC
rnacentral:rRNA from 1 species